UACGAAGGGGGCUAGCGUUGCUCGGAAUCACUGGGCGUAAAGCGCACGUAGGCGGAUUGCUAAGUCAGGGGUGAAAUCCUGGAGCUCAACUCCAGAACUGCCUUUGAUACUGGCGAUCUUGAGUCCGGGGAGAGGUGAGUGGAACUGCGAGUGUAGAGGUGAAAUUCGUAGAUAUUCGCAAGAACACCAGUGGCGAAGGCGGCUCACUGGCCCGGUACUGACGCUGAGGUGCGAAAGCGUGGGGAGCAAACAGG
rnacentral:rRNA from 1 species